rnacentral:rRNA from 1 species
UUGCUGAACGCCCAUCUGAAGGAGGAUUUAGCAGUAAGCGGGAAGUAGAGCGUCCCCCUGAAACUGGCCCUGAAGCGCGCACACACCGCCCGUCACUCUCUCCAAAAUCAUCUUUACACUAUUAAAUUUAAAAGCCGAUAUUAGAAAGGGGAGGCAAGUCGUAACAUGGUAAGUGUACUGGAAGGUGCACUUGGAGAAAUC